GAGCGGCGAACGGGUGAGUAACACGUGAGUAACCUGCCCCCGACUCUGGGAUAAGCCCGGGAAACUGGGUCUAAUACCGGAUAUGACACCUCCUCGCAUGGGGUGGGUGUGGAAAGUCUUUUCGGUUGGGGAUGGACUCGCGGCCUAUCAGCUUGUUGGUGGGGUAAUGGCCUACCAAGGCGACGACGGGUAGCCGGCCUGAGAGGGCGACCGGCCACACUGGGACUGAGACACGGCCCAGACUCCUACGGGAGGCAGCAGUGGGGAAUAUUGCGCAAUGGGCGAAAGCCUGACGCAGCGACGCCGCGUGGGGGAUGACGGCCUUCGGGUUGUAAACCUCUUUCAGCAGGGACGAAGUUGACGUGUACCUGCAGAAGAAGCGCCGGCUAACUACGUGCCAGCAGCCGCGGUAAUACGUAGGGCGCAAGCGUUGUCCGGAAUUAUUGGGCGUAAAGAGCUCGUAGGUGGCUUGUCACGUCGGGUGUGAAAGCUUGGGGCUUAACUCCAGGUCUGCAUUCGAUACGGGCUGA
rnacentral:rRNA from 1 species